CCACCUUUUCAAAACAAGUUUAUUUAUUAAUGGCCUAAACCAAAACAUUUCACUUUCGCUCCAGAUUUACUCGCUCAGCGAAACAGUGUCGUUCUUUUAGCUUUAAUAUCUUCAUCACGAUCUCAUGGGCCGUCGGAAUUGAGGCUCGCAACCAGGGAGGAAGAGACAGUCUCCAACCUUUCCUCUUUCGCCAGCCACGAAUUGAUAUCACAGAGUUCAUUAUAAGAGGAAAUUCAGCCAAUCAUCUUUGACAGCAUUUGGCACUCUCUCCACCGCAACAUGACAAAGAUGGCUCUGUGUCUUAAGAAGAAAUUUGUUGCUCUUGUUACAUGCAUCCUGUUAACACUACCAGGUGGAUUUGCCAAUACAUCAUCACAAUCUGCAAGUGACAUUUCAUCAAUGAACCUUAUGACGCCAUCCCCAUCUGCAAGUGACAUUUCAUCGAUGAAUCCUAUGACGCCAUCCCCAUCUGUAAGUGACAUGUCAUCAAUGAAUCCUAUGUCGCCAUCCCCA